rnacentral:rRNA from 1 species
UGGGGAAUUUUGGACAAUGGGCGAAAGCCUGAUCCAGCAAUGCCGCGUGUGUGAAGAAGGCCUUCGGGUUGUAAAGCACUUUUGUCCGGAAAGAAAUCCUUGGCUCUAAUACAGUCGGGGGAUGACGGUACCGGAAGAAUAAGCACCGGCUAACUACGUGCCAGCAGCCGCGGUAAUACGUAGGGUGCAAGCGUUAAUCGGAAUUACUGGGCGUAAGCGUGCGCAGGCGGUUUGCUAAGACCGAUGUGAAAUCCCCGGGCUCAACCUGGGAACUGCAUUGGUGACUGGCAGGCUAGAGUAUGGCAGAGGGGGGUAGAAUUCCACGUGUAGCAGUGAAAUGCGUAGAGAUGUGGAGGAAUACCGAUGGCGAAGGCAGCCCCCUGGGCCAAAUACUGACGCUCAUGCACGAAAGCGUGGGGAGCAAACAGGAUUAGAUACCCUGGUAGUCCACGCCCUAAACGAUGUCAACUAGUUGUUGGGGAUUCAUUUCCUUAGUAACGUAGCUAACGCGUGAAGUUGACCGCCUGGGGAGUACGGUCGCAAGAUUAAAACUCAAAGGAAUUGACGGGGUCAUAGCUGUUUCCU